UAGGGAAUCUUCGGCAAUGGGGGCAACCCUGACCGAGCAACGCCGCGUGAGUGAAGAAGGUUUUCGGAUCGUAAAGCUCUGUUGUAAGAGAAGAACGAGUGUGAGAGUGGAAAGUUCACACUGUGACGGUAUCUUACCAGAAAGGGACGGCUAACUACGUGCCAGCAGCCGCGGUAAUACGUAGGUCCCGAGCGUUGUCCGGAUUUAUUGGGCGUAAAGCGAGCGCAGGCGGUUAGAUAAGUCUGAAGUUAAAGGCUGUGGCUUAACCAUAGUACGCUUUGGAAACUGUUUAACUUGAGUGCAGAAGGGGAGAGUGGAAUUCCAUGUGUAGCGGUGAAAUGCGUAGAUAUAUGGAGAACACCGGUGGCGAAAGCGGCUCUCUGGUCUGUAACUGACGCUGAGGCUCGAAAGCGUGGGGGGCGAACAGGAUUAGAUACCCUGGUAGUCCACGCCGUAAACGAUGAGUGCUAGGUGUUAGGCCCUUUCCGGGCUUAGUGCCGCAGCUAACGCAUUAAGCACUCCGCCU
rnacentral:rRNA from 1 species